UACAGAGGAUGCAAGCGUUAUCCGGAAUGAUUGGGCGUAAAGCGUCUGUAGGUGGCUUUUUAAGUCCGCCGUCAAAUCCCAGGGCUCAACCCUGGACAGGCGGUGGAAACUACCAAGCUGGAGUACGGUAGGGGCAGAGGGAAUUUCCGGUGGAGCGGUGAAAUGCGUAGAGAUCUGGAAGAACACCAAAGGCGAAGGCAGCGUCCUGGGAAGUCACUGACGCUCGGGUGCGAAAGCGUGGGUAGCAAACAGG
rnacentral:rRNA from 1 species